UACAGAGGUCCCAAGCGUUGUUCGGAUUCAUUGGGCGUAAAGGGUGCGUAGGUGGCGCCGUAAGUCAGGUGUGAAAUCUCGGGGCUUAACUCCGAAACUGCAUUUGAUACUGCGGUGCUUGAGGACUGGAGAGGAGACUGGAAUUUACGGUGUAGCAGUGAAAUGCGUAGAGAUCGUAAGGAAGACCAGUGGCGAAGGCGGGUCUCUGGACAGUUCCUGACACUGAGGCACGAAGGCCAGGGAGCAAACGGG
rnacentral:rRNA from 1 species